GAGUACGAUCUCUCAACUAAGAUCGCCCACUUUUUAGACCGACAUAUGGUUUUCCCACUGCUGGAGUUUGUAUCUGUGAAAGAGAGUUACAAUGGGAUGG